rnacentral:misc_RNA from 1 species
UCUCCGUUGGUGAACCAGCGGAGGGAUCAUUACAGAGUUGCAAAGCUCCCAAACCAUUGUGAACGUUACCUAUCCCGUUGCUUCGGCGGGCGGCCCGGGCCCCGCGCCCGGCGCCCCCCGGCCCCCCGUGGGCGCCCGCCGGAGGUAAACCAAACCCUUGAAUUGCAAGGCCUCUCUGAGUCUUCUGUACUGAAUAAGUCAAAACUUUCAACAACGGAUCUCUUGGUUCUG